AACGAACGCUGGCGGCAUGCCUAACACAUGCAAGCCGAACGAGAUCUUCGGGUCUAGUGGCGCACGGGUGCGAACGCGUGGGAAUCUGCCCUUUGGUUCGGAAUAACAGUUGGAAACGACUGCUAAUACCGGAUGAUGACGAAAGUCCAAAGAUUUAUCGCCAGAGGAUGAGCCCGCGUAGGAUUAGCUAGUUGGUGUGGUAAAGGCGCACCAAGGCGACGAUCCUUAGCUGGUCUGAGAGGAUGAUCAGCCACACUGGGACUGAGACACGGCCCAGACUCCUACGGGAGGCAGCAGUGGGGAAUAUUGGACAAUGGGCGGAAGCCUGAUCCAGCAAUGCCGCGUGAGUGAUGAAGGCCUUAGGGUUGUAGAGCUCUUUUACCCGGGAUGAUAAUGACAGUACCGGGAGAAUAAGCUCCGGCUAACUCCGUGCCAGCCGCCGCGGUAACAC
rnacentral:rRNA from 1 species